rnacentral:rRNA from 1 species
GACGAACGCUGGCGGCGUGCUUAACACAUGCAAGUCGAACGGAAAGGCCCUUUGGGGGUACUCGGGGGGGGAAAGGGUGAGGAACACGGGAGGAAACUGCCCUUGACUUCGGGGUAACUUCAGGGAACUGGGGGUAAUACCGGAUAGGAAACCUUGCUGCAUGGGGGGGGGUGGAAAGCUUCGGCGGUUUUGGAUGGACUCGCGGCUUAUCAGCUUGUUGGUGGGGUAGUGGCUUACCAAGGCUUUGACGGGUAGCCGGCCUGAGAGGGCGACCGGCCACAUUGGGACUGAGAUACGGCCCAGACUCCUACGGGAGGCAGCAGUGGGGAAUAUUGCACAAUGGGCGGAAGCCUGAUGCAGCAACGCCGCGUGCGGGAUGACGGCCUUCGGGUUGUAAACCGCUUUCAGCAGGGGCGAAGCUUGUGGUGACGGUACCUGCAGAAGAAGCACCGGCUAACUACGUG